rnacentral:misc_RNA from 1 species
UGGACUACUGGGGUUUCUAAUCCUGUUCGCUCCCCACGCUUUCGAGCCUCAGCGUCAGUUACAGACCAGAGAGCCGCUUUCGCCACCGGUGUUCCUCCAUAUAUCUACGCAUUUCACCGCUACACAUGGAAUUCCACUCUCCCCUUCUGCACUCAAGUUUGACAGUUUCCAAAGCGAACUAUGGUUGAGCCACAGCCUUUAACUUCAGACUUAUCAAACCGCCUGCGCUCGCUUUACGCCCAAUAAAUCCGGACAACGCUCGGGACCUACGUAUUACCGCGGCUGCUGGCACGUAGUUAGCCGUCCCUUUCUGGUAAGCUACCGUCACAGUGUGAACUUUCCACUCUCACACUCGUUCUUGACUUACAACAGAGCUUUACGAUCCGAAAACCUUCUUCAC